rnacentral:rRNA from 1 species
CGUCAAGUCAUCAUGGCCCUUACGGCCUGGGCUACACACGUGCUACAAUGGUCGGUACAAAGGGUUGCCAAGCCGCGAGGUGGAGCUAAUCCCAUAAAACCGAUCGUAGUCCGGAUCGCAGUCUGCAACUCGACUGCGUGAAGUCGGAAUCGCUAGUAAUCGUGAAUCAGAAUGUCACGGUGAAUACGUUCCCGGGCCUU